rnacentral:sRNA from 1 species
GGCCGACGGGUCCGCCAAGCGGCGAGUA